UACGAAGGGGGCGAGCGUUGUUCGGAAUUACUGGGCGUAAAGGGCGCGUAGGCGGCGACCCAAGUCAGAUGUGAAAGUCCUGGGCUUAACCUGGGGACUGCAUUUGAUACUGGGUUGCUUGAAUUCGGGAGAGGAUAGCGGAAUUCCCAGUGUAGCGGUGAAAUGCGUAGAUAUCCGGAGGAACACCGGUGGCGAAGGCGGCUUCCUGGACCGACACUGACGCUGAGGCGCGAAAGCUAGGGGAGCAAACGGG
rnacentral:rRNA from 1 species